rnacentral:rRNA from 1 species
AACGAACGCUGGCGGCAGGCCUAACACAUGCAAGUCGAACGCUCCGCAAGGAGAGUGGCAGACGGGUGAGUAACGCGUGGGAAUUUCCCCCAAGGUUCGGAAUAACUGAGGGAAACUUCAGCUAAUACCGAAUGGUACCGAGAGGUUAAAGAUUUAUCGCCUUGGGAUGAGCCCGCGUUGGAUUAGCUAGUUGGUGAGGUAACGGCUCACCAAGGCUGUGAUCCAUAGCUGGUCUGAGAGGACGACCAGCCACACUGGGACUGAGACACGGCCCAGACUUCUACGGAAGGCAGCAGUGGGGAAUCUUGGACAAUGGGCGCAAGCCUGAUCCAGCCAUGCCGCGUGGGCGAUGAAGGUCUUCGGAUUGUAAAGCCCUUUUGGCGGGGACGAUAAUGACGGUACCCGCAGAAUAAGCUCCGGCUAACUUCGUGCCAGCAGCCGCGGUAAUACGAAGGGGGCUAGCGUUGUUCGGAAUUACUGGGCGUAAAGCGUGCGCAGGCGGUC